rnacentral:lncRNA from 1 species
UUAGCGAUAAAUAAUUUAAAGAACUACACAUCCCAGUAGACUGUUAACGCGACUGGAGAAUUUGGGGUGAGGGUGUCUUGUUGAGCGGGGGCAACACACAGGGUCUACACGCAGCAUUGUGAGAAUUACAUUGUUGCACAUUAUCCAAGGGCUUAGAGACGAUAAAAUAACGCACAGCAGGAUAAAAUCCUAGUGCACAACUGCAUCAGAAUACUACGUGGACGCUGGAAACGACCACCGGCAGAGAAUUGAUGUGAAUAAUCAUAUGGAAGCUGAAUGCUGUUCAUUUAGUGCAACAUCUACAACAGUCUGCAGAAAUUUACAUUCCAGAGAGGAGGUGAAGUGGGUGUCUUUACGUCCAAAAAUUGCCCCAGCUUUAAGAAUACACCAUGAUGAAGUGUUAUGCAUCCUAAGAGGCAUUGCAAGUUUGGAAGGUCGUCCUGAAUCAAGAAGAGCAGCUGUAGACACCAGCAGCUGGAUUUCACUACCAUCCUAAUGCACAGCACCCUCUCAGACUGACGGGUUUUCACUGGCAGCAAACUGGCAGAGAGAAAGAGAGCUCACACAGGUGGGCCAGCAGCAGCAUCCCAGAGAUUAUAGAUUUGGAGAUUACAGGACAACAGCAGGUCAGGGCACACUGCCUUGUUGAAAUCCGAGUUCUCCACCUCACCAAUUCCAUUAAGAGCUGUCAUCGUGAAAUUGGCAAGCAAGCCCUGCGACACAACACAUUCACAUGCACUCGGCUGAUCACGUACUCCACUAGCUGCUAGACAGAUGCAGUGUUAGAAGAAAAUUGGAUGCUGUUUUUGUUUGCCUUUUUCUUUAAUCCAGCUCCUUGCCGCUCAAAUCCCUUUUUGUGCUUGAGCUGUUAGAUUCUUUCAAUCAUCUUUGUUGCUUAUUUUUAUUUGGUUAAUUUUUAUUAUCCACUGACCUGGAGAGAGUCAAAGUGCUCAAAUUAUCAAACCAUGAUGGCAGAAUAUCCUAAAGUGCUUAUCUAGACUGGAAUGUUCAAACCACACAGUUAGGAAGGGAAACUGUUGGAACCAGAGGUUCCUCAUAUUUGAAUCUUCAAGCUGCUUUCAUUGAAGACACCAUAAAGACCAAGGGACAAACGCAGUGGCAUGUCUCCACACUUAAAGUAACUCACAGGAUACGCAACUACCGCUACAUGAAUGAGACUGAAAGAAUUUGAAGAGUGUUGUAGAAUGUAAAGCUAUUCAAGAUGUCUGCAAAAGAGCUUCAUUACAAGACUGGGAGAAAACUCCACCCAUUUCCACCUCUGGUUGCGAAGUUCGACAAGGUGGCUCGCUAGACAGAGCGUACGGCUACGGACAAACUGGAUUACAGUGACAAACUUGGACUCAUAGAGGACUGUAAUAGAACAGACACGGUUGACAGCCUAGCUUGUCUGGCACUGAGAUGUCAAAACCACAGAGGGGGCUAUUCCUCCAACUGUCACUGCAAGGAGAAUAGAGCCGAUCACACACACGCCUACUAGCAGACUGAUUUUUAGAGCCGAAAGACUGGUGUGUGUUUGAACCGUGGCAGUAUAGACAGUUCAAAAGCGUGAAAGAAAGAGCUGGAGGAGAUCCCAUAGUGUAGGGGGAAGAGAGCGAAAAUAAAGAGCGGUAAAAGUCUCCACGGCAGCGGUGACACAUUGAAAGAGAAGACUGUGACAGACUGGAGAUCAUCGGUGGCAGUUCACAGGCGCACAGUUUUGUGAGAUUCACACACUUUUGGGAUUAAAGCCUGUGUCGCUCAGUACACCGAGUAGUACUGAGUCCAGUUUGGUCACGGUGGCAGGGGCCGGUU